rnacentral:rRNA from 1 species
GACGAACGCUGGCGGCGGGCUUAACACAUGCAAGUCGAGCGGUAAGGCCUUUCGGGGUACACGAGCGGCGAACGGGUGAGUAACACGUGGGUGAUCUGCCCUGCACUCUGGGAUAAGCCUGGGAAACUGGGUCUAAUACUGGAUAUGACCUCAGCAUGCAUGUGCUGGGGUGGAAAGCUUUUGUGGUGCAGGAUGGGCCCGCGGCCUAUCAGCUUGUUGGUGGGGUAAUGGCCUACCAAGGCGACGACGGGUAGCCGACCUGAGAGGGUGACCGGCCACACUGGGACUGAGACACGGCCCAGACUCCUACGGGAGGCAGCAGUGGGGAAUAUUGCACAAUGGGCGGAAGCCUGAUGCAGCGACGCCGCGUGAGGGAUGAAGGCCUUCGGGUUGUAAACCUCUUUCAGCAGGGACGAAGCGUGAGUGACGGUACCUGCAGAAGAAGCACCGGCUAACUACGUGCCAGCAGCCGCCGUAACAC